rnacentral:lncRNA from 12 species
GAAAAUUCCAGCUGCCCAUCCAUUCAAGUUGUAUUCAAGAUUUCAGUAUGGGCUACUUGACUGAUAGUUCAUUUACAAAUGUAUCUAAGAAGUCACUACUGGAGGGCAAAAAGGACCAGUGUGCCUGAGACUUCAUGUAGAGGACAUAUCCAGCACAGAUGGAUUUGGUGCAGGCUUCUACAAAUAUUUCUCUCCAAAAUGACUGGAAGCUGU